UUUUUGGAGAGUUUGAUCCUGGCUCAGGACGAACGCUGGCGGCGUGCCUAAUACAUGCAAGUCGAGCGGACUUUAAGGAGUGCUUGCACUCCUGAUGGUUAGCGGCGGACGGGUGAGUAACACGUAGGCAACCUGCCCUCAAGACUGGGAUAACUACCGGAAACGGUAGCUAAUACCGGAUAAUUUAUUACAUAGCAUUAUGUAAUAAUGAAAGACGGAGCAAUCUGUCACUUGGGGAUGGGCCUGCGGCGCAUUAGCUAGUUGGUGG
rnacentral:rRNA from 1 species